rnacentral:rRNA from 1 species
UACGAAGGGGGGCUAGCGUUGUUCGGAUUUACUGGGCGUAAAGCGCACGUAGGCGGAUUGUUAAGUGAGGGGUGAAAUCCCAGGGCUCAACCCUGGAACUGCCUUUCAUACUGGCAAUCUUGAGUUCGGGAGAGGUGAGUGGAACUGCGAGUGUAGAGGUGAAAUUCGUAGAUAUUCGCAAGAACACCAGUGGCGAAGGCGGCUCACUGGCCCGAUACUGACGCUGAGGUGCGAAAGCGUGGGGGAGCAAACAGG